rnacentral:rRNA from 1 species
GAGCUCAAAUUUGAAAUCUGGUAGCCUUCGGUUGCCCGAGUUGUAAUCUAGAGAAGUGUUUUCCGUGCCGGCCCAUGUACAAGUCCCUUGGAACAGGGCGUCAUAGAGGGUGAGAAUCCCGUCCUUGACAUGGACCCCCGGUGCUUUGUGAUACACUUUCAACGAGUCGAGUUGUUUGGGAAUGCAGCUCAAAAUGGGUGGUGAAUUCCAUCUAAAGCUAAAUAUUGGCGAGAGACCGAUAGCGAACAAGUACCGUGAGGGAAAGAUGAAAAGCACUUUGGAAAGAGAGUUAAACAGUACGUGAAAUUGUUGAAAGGGAAACGAUUGAAGUCAGUCAUGCUCUUGGGACUUACCUCCCUUGAGUGGGGUCAACAUCAGUUUUGAUCGAUGGAUAAAGGCACGGGGAAGGUAGCACUCUCGGGUGAACUUAUAGCCUCGCGUCAUAUACAUUGAUUGGGACUGAGGAACGCAGCAUGCCUUAUGGCCGGGAUUCGUCCACGUACAU